CGGAGGGGCUCCUCACUUCUCAGACGGGGCGGCUGCCGGGCGGAGGGGCUCCUCACUUCUCAGAUGGGGCGGCCAGGCAGAGACGCUCCUCACCUCCCAGUCGGGGUCACGGCCGGGCAGAGGCGCUCCUCACAUCCCAGACGGGGCAGAGGCGCUCCCCACAUCUCAGACGAUGGGCGGCCGGGCAGAGAUGCUCCUCAGUUCCUAGAUGGGAUGGCGGCCGGUAAGAGGUGCUCCUCACUUCCCAGACUGGGCAGCCGGGCAGAGGGGCUCCUCGCAUCCCAGACGAUGGGCGGCUAGGCAGAGACGCUUCUCACUUCCCAGACGGGGUGGCGGCUGGGCAGAAGCUGCAAUCUCGGCACUUUGGAAGGCCAAGGUAGGCGGCUGGGAGGUGGAGGUUGUAGCGAGCCGAGAUCACGCCACUGCACUCCAGCCUGGGCAACAUUGAGCACUGAGUGAACAAGACUCCAUCUGCAAUCCCGGCACCUCGGGAGGCUGAGGCUGGCGGAUCACUCGAGGUUAGGAGCUGGAGACCAGCCCGGCCAACACAGCGAAACCCCGUCUCCACCAAAAAAAUACGAAAACCAGUCAGGCGUGGUGGCGCGCGCCUGCAAUCGCAGGCACUCGGCAGGCUGAGGCAGGAGAAUCAGGCAGGGAGGUUGCAGUGAGCAGAGAUGGCGGCAGCACAGUCCAGCUUCGGCUCGGCAUCAGAGGGAGACGGUGGAAAGAGAGGGAGAGGGAGACUGUGGGGAGAGGGAGGGGGGAGGGGGAGGGGGAGGGGAGGGGGAGGGGGGACCGUUAUUAUUAAAAGCAAAAAGAUGGUUCUACAGAAUGGGGGCAGAGAGGAGUAGGAAUGGUACUCAGAGGAAACUGAGAUGCCUCUUUACAGCUCUUGCCCAGUCAAAAGAAGAUCACACAACUCUACAUGUGCAAAACCAUCAAGGGCUUAGGAUUUUCAGGAGUGAAAGUUUGUGGACUCCCUACCAGGGAAUGAACCCAGUCAAAGCAAGAGGUACCUGGAAUGGUAGUAUAGGAGGGAAGUAAGAAAUGACAACUACUACUGACUUGUAACCAAGAAGCAGAAAGAACUAAAACUUCCACCUGUAUUUCUUUCUUUGCAGUGAUGUAUGUUAUUUAAAUUAAAUCCUUCUCUCAUUUUGUGCAUAGGGUAUGCUUGUGGCGUUUAUAUUUACUGUUUGGUCUAGAAGUUUUGUGAUACAAAGGUAUGAAAAGGGAAUGAGUUGGGAAGACAUUGGAGAGGCAUCAAGAGUAAUUUGGAUUUUGGAGUUAGACAGACUGGCUUCAAGUCCUGGCUCUGCUACUUACUACCUGUGUGACCUUAAGCAAGUUCUUGAACCUCUCUGUGGCUCCGGUUUAUCAUUUAUAAAAUGUAAUAAUAAGAUCUACUUCUCAAUGGCUUGUGGUGUGGUUUAUGUGAUCUUUGUAAAGUCAGCAUAGUGCUUAGAAGAUAGCAAAUUUCUAAAGAUGUUAGCUAUUAUGAUGAUGAUGAUGAUAAAGUCUGGGAGACCAAUUGGGGUUACUAUUUUACUUUAUUUUAUUUUGAGACGGAAUCUGGCUCUGUCGCCCAGGCUGGAGUGCGGUGGCGCCAUCUCUGCUCACUGUAACCUCCACCUCCCAGGUUCAAGAGAUUCUUCUGUCUCAGCCUCCCGAGUAGCUGGGACUACAGGUGUGCGCCACCAUGCCCAGCUAAUUUUUGUAUUUUUAGUAGAGAUGGGGUUUCACCAUAUUGGCCAGGCUGGUCUCAAACUUCUGACCUCGUGAUCUGCCCGCCUCAGCCUCCCAAAGUGCUGGGAUUACAGGCCUGAGCCACCAUGCCUGGCCUGGGGUUACUAUUAAUACAAUAGUCUAGGUGAGGGCUGAUGAAGGCUUAAACCAAGACAAAGAAGUGGGGAUGACAAGCCUUUCAAUGUUUAUAAGUAUGCCAUAUAGAUAGGAUGGCCACAUGAUUUGUGAUUCACUGAGGGACACUUCUCAGAGUGAAAUGGGUAUGUAUUAAUAAUGAUACCAGGACAACAGGCAUGCAUUUGGAAGUACAAUCACCCUGCACAUUAGUCUUUUCUAAGUUCAGCUUCUAGAUGUCCCUCACCAGCACCAACAAUGCUCAGCUUAUUUGAUUGUAACAUACUGAAAGGAAACUUGUUUUUAAUUUUACUGGAGGCAAGACAAAACCAACAAGCAUCAGGCAUCCUCUUAACUCAGAUGUCUUUUCUGACUCAAUUCAGCCAGAUUUGACUGCUCAGCCCAACUGAGCAUGCACAAGAGGAGGGCAACCAUGUUCUUUCUUUCUGCACCACAUAGGAUGUGAACCACACAUGCUGGAAAGCAGGGCCUCCAGCUUUCAUUUGCAGACUGGGUGGCUCAGACAUCAGGUCAACAUUAAUGGCUUCACUAUGUCUCCAAAAUAGGACUUGGCAUCUCUCCCAGACCCUCCCUCAAGGCAGGUAACUUGUCCGUCUGUCUUGUUCUCUCCAAUAUACUUAGCGUCAAACGCAGUGUCUAGCACCUAGCAGGAGCCUGACAAAUACUUAUUAAAUAUUGGAGUGGGCGUGGUGGGGCUGGGCGUGGUGCAACACAAAGGAAUCUUCCAGCUG
rnacentral:lncRNA from 10 species